rnacentral:antisense_RNA from 24 species
AAUUAUGGUGGCUUGGGUAGGGGAGCCGAAAGGCUCGCCGGGUUCUGUGAUGACCGGUCUGCUAACCCUGCUCAGGUCACCACCAGU